rnacentral:lncRNA from 1 species
AGAGCAUCCCCAGGCCUGUGGCCACCUCGGGUCUGGAUGCCGCAUUCUCUGACAUGUGGCACAUUCUGGGUGCCCAUGGUUAUGAUGAGGUUCUGUGCCCAUGUGGCCUCAGGGCUCUUGAGACCACCCUUCAACCAGGUCUUUGCUCACCUGUCUCCUGCCCAGGGACGCCACCCAGGUCACCGGUGCAAACCUCCAUCCCCUGCCCGUUUCUCUCCAUGAUUGCAUCGCCAACUCGCAGCCUCUUCCACUUGCUCAUUCCUGGUGUUAUUGCCUGUCUCCCACUGGAAGAGAAGGCCCUCGAGUUCAGCAAUUGUUUUGCCUGUUUUGUUCACUGUGGUGAACCCCGGGCCUAGAACCACGCCUGGCACUCCCAGUAGGUGCUCAGACAGAGCGAGGUACUAGGGACACAGGAAGGACGAGGCAGAGCUCCGUGAUGACGAAACCAAGGGCCAAGCAUGUGAGUGAAUACGAACACCCUGGCAUUCAAACGUCUUGCAUUCUAGUGAAAUGAGACCCAUUGGACACAGAGAAGCCCCACCACAAUUGCACCUGUGUAAAAUCGAGAGAAAGAUCGUGAAAACAGCCAUGGCAGUGAAAAUGGGAUCAUCAUGCUGACCUCAAGGGCUGCUGUAGGAUUCGAUGUUCCUCAUGUCACGGUCUCUAACCGUGUGGCACAUUCUGGGUGCCCAUGGUUACGAUGAUGGGUUUGGGGGCUGGAGGGAUCAGUGACUUUCUGCCUCCACCCCCUCUCUAGGAACAGCAGGCUGCUAAGGAACCCCACAGGCACCUGCUGUGUGGCUCCCGGCACGCUGCCCUUCUCCUGCCGUGGCUUUUCACCUUUGUGUGCCAGUCUUGCACCUAUUCAUGCCUCAAAACCCCACCAAAAAGACAAUAACAGGUGCUGGCAAGCAUGUAGAGAAACUGAAACCCUGCUGCUCUGGUGCUGACAGAGGGCACACUGCAUCGGAGAACGGUCCGACAGCUCCUCAAAAGGUUCAACAUAGAGUUGCCGUGUGACCCAGCGAUUCCGCUCCGGUGGCCAAUCUGAGGUUUCAGUCCAGGCUGUCUGGUUCCAAGGACUCUGUUCUUUACCACUUUCUAUGUGUACACCCAAAGAACUGCAAACGUAUGAUCAACCAAAAAUAUGAACAUGAACGCUCAUCGCGGCACAGUUCGUAAUAGCCGAAAGGUGGAAACAAACCAAACGCCCAUCAAGGGUUGAAUGGAUAAACAAAACGUGGUCCAUCCUUACAACAGCGUAACCUUGGGCCGUACAGAGGAGUGAAAUGUGAUAUGCGCCACGAUGUGGAGGAAACUUGAAAACAUGGGAAUUUAAAAAAGAUCCUGCCACAUACUCAAAGCACCUGGAGCCUCUGGAGGAAGAGGAGGGACAAAUGAGAUCAAGUCAGAGGAGGAAGCUGAGGGCCCCGAGUUCCUUCCGCUCAGAUGUCUGCAUCCAGAAAGGAGUUCUGCUUCUCUCAACCUGUGUUUCUUGCAAGAGUUUAUCUAUAAAUUGCUGAAAAAUGGGUAAUCAAGUUCAGCAACUCCCUGGCAUCUGUGAUGACCUAUGGUUUGUAAUCCUAGUCAG